GACACAGUGUUACAGACUGACUGCAAUCUCUUUUCCUGUUUUCAGACGGGACAGAGUUGAUUUUCUUCAUAGUGUCUGACUUUUUUUAGGAAGGUGGUCUAACUAUAAAGAACAACAAGCAAGAUGUUCUACCAUCAUAUGGAAAAAAAAAAAAAAAGAGAGAGAGAGAGAGAAGAGUAGGUAAUUUGGAAUUGCAGAAAUAGAACACUGAAGUUAUCAGCUCACUACAAUAUUCAUCAAUAAUUACUCAAUAAUUACUUUUUCAUCUCAACAAUAUGCUCUUGUAUCCUAACCAAAAAAAAAAGAUUGUGAAAAUCACUCUGGAGAGAUUCUCAUGAUGAUUGAACAGGAAAAAUUAACAACGUUUUUUGCUGUGUGUCAUUUGAAGCAUCCAAAACAGCUCUCACUCAUCAGUAGGCUAUCUAUGGAACAGGCCAGAUCAGCUGCUGCAUGGGGCCUGGCUGAAAAGGAGUUAAUUCUCUUCAUGGCAGACCCUAGGGUGCUGUGUUUUGGAUUUAUGACCAAAGCGGUGUUGCUAACACAUCAGUGUUUCAGCCACAGUUGAGCAGUGCUUACGCAUUGUUAAGGUCUCUCUGUUUCUCUCCCCACCCUGCCAGGGCAGCAAGUAGACUGGAGGUGCACAAAAGGUUUGGAGGGGAAAGAGCAAGUACAGCUAAUCCAGACUGACCAAAGGCAUAUUUCAAACGAUAUGGCUAUGACAUCAUGCUCAACAAUAAAAGCUGGAGUAAGAGUAAAGAAGGAGGAAGGUGGAGGGAACUUUUCAAGAAACAAGAAGCUGUUGCAUAUGAUGGAACCCUCCUAACCUGCAAAUGGCUGAAAAUCUACCUAUCAGAAUAUAUACUGAAUAUAUACGUAAAUACUGAAUUAAUUAUUUUUCUUUGCCAGCAUGAGCAGCUUUAAUUUUUACCUAUUAAACUUUCUAUC
rnacentral:lncRNA from 1 species